CAUAGGUCUGGUUAAGGCCGUGACCUUCGGGCCUUUGUGUAUGUUUGUAUUACAUUUGAUCUUGGGCUUUUGGCCCGUCUUUUUUCUUUCUUUCUUUUAUUAUUACAGUAUUAUUUUUUAUUUUAUCGUUUUAAAUUUUUCUUGUAAACGUAAAGUUCAUAUAAAGCUAAAGCCUUUUUAAAGUAACAGCUUAUUUUUAAAAAAAUAUAUAAUUAUUAUUAUUUAAAAAAAAAAAUGCUAUUACCAAAAGAUUAGGGUUUCCAUGAGCAUCUUUUUUCUCCUCUAUAUAAAACCCAUACGCCCAAUCAACCAUUCAGGUCGAGAAACUCAAGAGGCGCCUCUGCAAAAAUGUAACGCGAUCUGCUGCCACAUCUUGUAGGAAAUCAUAUUUUCCAUCUCGGUUGAGUAAAAGGCAUCCUUUUACUUCCAUUUCUCUGUCUCUGUGGUUGGUUUAAACAUGCUCCUUUAAUUGUAAAGGAACUACUGCAAAACCUUGUUGGUUUUGUCAAAUAUGGUUUGAGCAUUUGAGGUUUGAGGUCACAGGGUGGUUGAGCGUGCUUGGCAAAAGCUGAUACCGAGUUCAUUAAAAGUUUGUGUCCUCUUUGUUUUGAAGUAUUAGGGCUUUUGAUGGCAUCCAUAGCCAGCCAGCUUUUAAGUGAUUUGGUUCCUUGUGAUUCUUUGAUAGCUGAGCUUCUAGUCUGCUCAAUUUGUAUUGGUUCUUGUCCAUUUUAUGAGAAUGUGUUUUAGAGAGAAGGUGCAAGGUUGUAUCUGUGUCUAUGUCUGUUUGUGUUGGGGAAGAAGUUGCAAUUUUGACAAGAGGAGGGCUGCUUGAUUUUUCAACCUUUCACAACAGCGAGUUUGCAAUCGACACUCCGUGUUUUGACAAAUAAUGCUAGAAAAAAGGGUUGCUAUAGGAGUUGAAUUAAUGUUCAAUUUGUUUUUUAUCGUAAGUUUCUGAAUUUGGGUCCAACAUAGUGUGGAGGUGAUGUAUCAUAAUUACACACGUAUUCUAAUAUUAAUAUAUAUCGGACCACUGUUGGGAAUCGCAA